AACGAACGCUAGCGGCAGGCUUGACACAUGCAAGUCGAGCGCCCCGCAAGGGGAGCGGCAGACGGGUGAGUAACGCGUGGGAAUCUACCCAUCUCUACGGAAUAACGCAUGGAAACGUGUGCUAAUACCGUAUACGUCCUUCGGGAGAAAGAUUUAUCGGAGAUGGAUGAGCCCGCGUUGGAUUAGCUAGUUGGUGGGGUAAAGGCCUACCAAGGCGGCGAUCCAUAGCUGGUCUGAGAGGAUGAUCAGCCACACUGGGACUGGGACACGGCCCAGACUCCUACGGGAGGCAGCAGUGGGGAAUAUUGGACAAUGGGCGCAAGCCUGAUCCAGCCAUGCCGCGUGAGUGAUGAAGGCCCUAGGGUUGUAAAGCUCUUUCACCGGUGAAGAUAAUGACGGUAACCGGAGAAGAAGCCCCGGCUAACUUCGUGCCAGCCGCCGCUGUAACAC
rnacentral:rRNA from 1 species